rnacentral:rRNA from 1 species
CUACGGGGGGCUGCAGUGAGGAAUAUUGCACAAUGGGGGGAACCCUGAUGCAGCAACGCCGCGUGGAGGAUGACGCAUUUCGGUGUGUAAACUCCUUUUAUAUGUCAAGAAAAUGACGGUAGCAUAUGAAUAAGCACCGGCUAACUCCGUGCCAGCAGCCGCGGUAAUACGGAGGGUGCAAGCGUUACUCGGAAUCACUGGGCGUAUAGGACGCGUAGGCGGGUUGGAAAGUCAGGUGUGAAAUCCUACAGCUUAACUGUAGAACUGCACUUGAAACUUCUAAUCUAGAGUAUGGGAGGGGGAGAUGGAAUUAGUGGGGUAGGGGUAAAAUCCGUAGAUAUCACUAGGAAUACCUAAAGCGAAGGCGAUCUCCUGGAACAUUACUGACGCUAAGGCGUGAAAGCGUGGGGAGCAAACAGGGUUAGAUACCCCAGUAGUC